UAAGAAUAUCCUGUACCAUAGUGCUUGGCAGAGUGCACAGUGCUAACAUAACAGGUUCUCAUUAUAUGUUCCUUGGAUGGGAAGGAGCUGACACAAUAUAAUGUUUAGAAGGCAAAUACAUAUAUAAACAAGAAUACAAGAAUCCACCCAAAAAGGGACUAAUUUGGCCAGGACAUGUGGCAUUUUGAUUCUGAGGCUCUAAGUCUGUAGCAAAAAAUCCCAACCAUAUGGAGGAUAUAAGGAGAGGCAGAAGCCAAAUGAAAGCUGUAAAGGAGAGGAAAAGGACACCACCAAAGAAAGUCUCCCCACACACCAGUACCAAAGGCAUCAAAUACUAAUGAGGACACCAGCUGAUAUGACCUGAAGAGUCAUGUCUGCAUAGCUAAGGAACAGAUCUGGCUUCGUAAUUCAUCAGCUGUUAUUUUCGUCAUGCUGCCAAACUGCUUUUAAGCAUCAUUUUAAUGAAAGAACAGGAGGUCAAGUAAUGCUCAUCUCUUGGAAGGAAGGGCAAGUCAAUAGGAUAAUAUAGGGAAAGGCUUGUAAGUUGAAAAGU